rnacentral:lncRNA from 1 species
UGAUGAUAUGCAGACCAAAGACGAUGUUUAUUUUGCUUCUUUCUCCAACCUCAGUUAUGCUGCAGCAUUUCCAAUUUUUGCCCAACUGCAUUUGCCAAGGAAAACCCAUUUAUUACAGAAUGGAAUACACGGGUUUUUUCUUCCUCUAGAAGAUGAUUAUCAGUAUGGCUUUACCAACAGUCAUCUGAGGACCUUUGUUUUUGUAUGGAGUCCUCCUGAACUCGGCGAUGAACGAUGGAGAAUGUCCAUCAGACACCAACCACAGAACUAUAUAAGUGCCAAGUAGUCUCUCCAGGAGCUGGGACCACCUUCUGCUGUAACUAGGAGAUCUGCUAAACACGGCUUCAUUCCAAAAGUUUUGCAACGCUGAAAAUUAUGGCUCUGAGGCGCUGCUAUUGUGACCAGUGCUUGCACAGACGGUAAGAAGAGGCUUCUUGUUUAAUCUGCACACAUUCAUUACGAAUAGUCUGAACAGAUGAUGAAGGUAAG